rnacentral:rRNA from 1 species
AUUGAACGCUGGCGGCAGGCCUAACACAUGCAAGUCGAGCGGAGCGGCGGACGGGUGAGUGAUGCCUAGGAGUCUGCCUGGCAGUGGGGGAUGACGUCCGGAAGCGGGCGCUACUACCGCAUAGUAUCAGAUGAGCCUAGGUUGGAUUAGCUCGUUGGUGGGGUAAAGGCCUACCAAGGCGACGAUCCGUAACUGGGCUGCGAGGAGGAUCAGUCCCACUGGAACUGAGACACGGUCCAGACUCCUACGGGAGGCAGCAGUGGGGAAUAUUGGACAAUGGGCGAAAGCCUGACCCAGCCAGGCCGCGUGUGUGAAGAAGGUCUUCGGAUUGUAAAGCACUUUAAGUUGGGAGGCGGUACCAACAGAAUAAGCACCGGCUAACUUCGUGCCAGCCGCCGCGGUAAUAC